AUGCCUGUUCGAGCGUCAUUAUGACCAAUCCCGCAAGGUCUUGGGGCUCGCCUCUCCUGGCGGCUCUUAAAAUCAGUGGCGGCGCAUCGUGCUCUAAGCGUAGUAAUACUCCUCGCUACAGAUCCACGGUGGAUGCUUGCCAGCAACCCUCAACUCAAUAGGUUGACCUCGGAUCAGGUAGGGAUACCCGCUGAACUUAA
rnacentral:misc_RNA from 1 species